AAUGUAUCAAGGUAUUAAUAUUGGUGUCUACUUGUAUCAAGCAUGUCAGGCGUUCAUAUAGUUGUGGUCGCAAUCUGGAACAGCAAAUUAAAGUGUGGUCCAGAUUUAUUUGCUAGACAAUGGUAGCAUAAUAUAAUAAGACAGCAAAGUUGGGAACUUCACAACAGGUUAACUAAUAACUAAUUUCAUGCAUCUGUAAUGAUUAGUGCAAGGAUGACACGACUUAUAUAGGCUCAAUAAUAUUUCUCCAGUUUCUG